rnacentral:lncRNA from 1 species
AUGUGGGGGCAGGGAGCGCGGGGCUGGGCACGGCCGCGGCCCAGUGACUUUCCGGAACGCGGGGCCCCCGGCGCGAGCCCGCCCGGGGUGUCCAGCCCCGCAGCCCCCCUACCUGUCCCCCCACCCCCACCCCAACCCCGGGGCAGACAGCCGGGUUUGGAGCCUGGGCCGCCGGGGGAGGGAAGGAAGGAGGGAGCCGCCCGGAAAGUUGCUGUGUCAUUGCUCUGCUUGUCGCAGCCCGGCGGGCGGGAGGGCGGGGCCGCGCGCACUCGGGAGACCCGGGCCUGCUCCCCGGCGGGGAGUGGAGGGCCCCGGCCUGCGGCCCGGAGGGCAGGGGCGAUGAAGGUUCGAGGGGGAGGGCGGCAGGGGUGCGGUGGGGGAGCCCGCCGUGCUAACGGCCCCCUCGCGCGGGCUGCCCGGGUGUCCCCGGGGAGCCAGGCCCAGGCGCACUGCGGUGAGCACAGCCUGAGAGGCACCCGGCGCCGUGACCUUGGGCUGCGGCUGUUCCUGCACAAGCCUCCCUUGUUCCCAGAGGCCCCGGGCAGCCCGGGGGAGGGGAGGGCAGGGGAGGGGGCGAGGCGGCUCCCAAAAUGGCUCCUGCCCCUCCUCGGAGGCGUCCGGCUGGGGGAGGGGAGGAGGGGGAGGGCUGCACAGCCGCCGCCGCCUCCUCCUCGGCUCGCCCUCCUCCCUGGCGCUGACCGGUGCAAGCUGCGCUCCGUGGGGAGGAUCCCCGGCCCGGCGAGGGGGCGGGGGGGGGCGUCUGCGGGACCGCGAGGGGCACCGCGCCUGGCGGCAUGGCCUUGGCUCGCCUCGGGAGCGAGCGUGUCGCUGGCAGCCCUGCGCUGCUCCCCGGGCCCCGCGGGGACGCCGGCCGAGGUGGGUUCCUGGGGCGGUGGGCGCGCGGGGGCGGGGAGUGCAGUGCGCACGGGCCGGGGUGGCCGCGGGGACACCGGGGGCCUUGCUGUGGCUUGGGGUGGUGUUCCGGGCGGCGCCGGCCUUUGUGCCGGUGGCUUUCGGGUGGGGGCAGGGUCAUUGUUGGACUCUGCAGAGUCACUGUCGGCUCCCGCAGCCCAGCGGCCUGAGCGCGCUUCGCGGGGACCCCGGGAGCGCCGGCGCGGCCGCCCCUAA